CAGUCGCCGCGGUAAAACGAAGGGUGCAAGCGUUACUCGGAAUUACUGGGCGUAAAGCGUGCGUAGGUGGUGGUUUAAGUCCGUUGUGAAAGCCCUGGGCUCAACCUGGGAAUUGCAGUGGAUACUGGGUCACUAGAGUGUGGUAGAGGAUAGUGGAAUUUCCGGUGUAGCAGUGAAAUGCGUAGAGAUCGGAAGGAACAUCUGUGGCGAAGGCGACUAUCUGGGCCAACACUGACACUGAGGCACGAAAGCGUGGGGAGCAAACAGGAUUAGAUACCCCCGUAGUCCCUGUCUCUUAUAA
rnacentral:rRNA from 1 species